rnacentral:rRNA from 1 species
UACAGAGGUCCCAAGCGUUUGUUCGGAUUCAUUGGGCGUAAAGGGUGCGUAGGCGGCGCGGGAAGUCGGGUGUGAAAUCUCGGAGCUUAACUCCGAAACUGCAUUCGAUACUGCGGGUCUCGAGUCCGGGAGAGGUGAGUGGAAUUCCUAGUGUAGAGGUGAAAUUCGUAGAUAUUAGGAAGAACACCGGUGGCGAAGGCGGGUCUCUGGGCCGAUACUGACGCUGAGGAGCGAAAGCGUGGGGAGCGAACAGG